GGCCGUGUGCUGCAGCUGGUAUGUUCCGAGCGGCUACAUAGAGCGAUUUUGCUGAGGUUGGGGGCGUGGGUUCGGAUCCCAUCGCGGGCUCCA
rnacentral:tRNA from 1 species